rnacentral:tRNA from 1 species
GUCCAGGGUAGCCUAGUGGUCAUGGCAUCUGCCCGGUAAGCGGAAGGUCGUGAGUUCGAUUUCCAUCCCUUGACA